UACGGGGGGGGCAAGCGUUGUUCGGAAUUACUGGGCGUAAAGGGCUCGUAGGUGGCCAACUAAGUCAGACGUGAAAUCCCUCGGCUUAACCGGGGAACUGCGUCUGAUACUGGAUGGCUUGAGUUCGGGAGAGGGAUGCGGAAUUCCAGGUGUAGCGGUGAAAUGCGUAGAUAUUGGGAGGAACACCAGUGGCGAAGGCGGCUCACUGGACCGGAACUGACGCUGAGGAGCGAAAGCGUGGGGAGCAAACAGG
rnacentral:rRNA from 1 species